AUGAACGCUGGCGGCGUGCCUAAUACAUGCAAGUCGAGCGCCCCUUUAAGAGGUGACAAUCGACUGAUUGUCGGUUCCUAUGGGGAGCGGCGGACAGCUGAGUAACGCGUGGGAACGUGCCCCAAAGUGAUGGAUAACGCACCGAAAGGUGUGCUAAUACCGCAUAUGAUCUUCGGAUUAAAGCUUUAUGCGCUGUGUGAGCGGCCUGCGUCCUAUUAGAUAGUUGGUGAGGUAAAGGCUCACCAAGUCAACGAUGGGUAGCUGGUCUGAGAGGAUGACCAGCCAGACUGGAACUGAGACACGGUCCAGACUCCUACGGGAGGCAGCAGUAAGGAAUCUUCCACAAUGGGCGAAAGCCUGAUGGAGCAACGCCGCGUGCAGGAUGAAGGCCUUCGGGUCGUAAACUGCUUUUAUGAGUGAAGAAUAUGACGGUAACUCAUGAAUAAGGGUCGGCUAACUACGU
rnacentral:rRNA from 1 species